rnacentral:rRNA from 1 species
AUUGAACGCUGGCGGCAGGCCUAACACAUGCAAGUCUGACGGUAGCACAGAGAGCUUGCUCUUGGGUGACGAGUGGCGGACGGGUGAGUAAUGUCUGGGGAUCUGCCCGAUAGAGGGGGAUAACCACUGGAAACGGUGGCUAAUACCGCAUAACGUCGCAAGACCAAGAGGGGGACCUUCGGGCCUCUCACUAUCGGAUGAACCCAGAUGGGAUUAGCUAGUAGGCGGGGUAAUGGCCCACCUAGGCGACGAUCCCUAGCUGGUCUGAGAGGAUGACCAGCCACACUGGAACUGAGACACGGUCCAGACUCCUACGGGAGGCAGCAGUGGGGAAUAUUGCACAAUGGGCGCAUGCCUGAUGCAGCCAUGCCGCGUGUAUGAAGAAGGCCUUCGGGUUGUAAAGUACUUUCAGCGGGGAGGAAGGCGGUGAGGUUAAUAACCUUGCCGAUUGACGUUACCCGCAGAAGAAGCACCGGCUAACUCCGUGCCAGCCGCCGCGGUAA